GGCCGGUUAGCUCAAUCAGUAGAGUGUGGCACUAACAACGCCAAGGUUGCGGGUUCGAUUCCUGCUCGGUCC
rnacentral:tRNA from 1 species